rnacentral:rRNA from 1 species
CCUACGGGCGGCAGCAGUGGGGGAUAUUGCACAAUGGGGGAAACCCUGAUGCAGCGACGCCGCGUGUGGGAAGACGGUCCUCUGGAUUGUAAACCACUGUCCCCAGGGACGAAGAUGACGUUACCUGGGGAGGAAGCUCCGGCUAACUCUGUGCCAGCAGCCGCGGUAAAACGUAGGGAGCCAGCGUUGUUCGGAUUUAUGGGGUUUAAGGGGUGCGGAGGCGGGCUUUUAAGUCAGCGGUAAAAAUUCGGGGCUCAACCCCGUCCGGCCGUUGAAACUGGGGGCCUUGAGUGGGCGAGAAGAAGGCGGAAUGCGUGGUGUAGCGGUGAAAUGCAUAGAUAUCACGCAGAACCCCGAUUGCGAAGGCAGCUCUCCGGCGCCCUACUGACGCUGAGGCACGAAAGUGCGGGGAGCGAACAGGAUUAGAUACCCGAGUAGUC